rnacentral:rRNA from 1 species
AUACGUAGGUGACAAGCGUUAUCCGGAUUUACUGGGCGUAAAGGGCGUGUAGGCGGUCUUGCAAGUCAGAAGUGAAAUUCCUGAGCUCAACUCGGGCGCUGCUUCUGAAACUGCAGGACUUGAGUGCUGGAGGGGAUAGCGGAAUUCCUAGUGGAGCGGUAAAAUGCGCAGAUAUUAGGAAGAACACCGGUGGCGAAGGCGGCUAUCUGGACAGUAACUGACGCUGAGGCGCGAAAGCGUGGGGAGCAAACAGGAUUAGAUACCCUGGUAGUCCACGCUGUAAACGAUGGAUACUAGGUGUAGGGGGUAUCGACUCCCUCUGUGCCGCAGUUAACACAAUAAGUAUUCCGCCUGGGGAGUACGGCCGCAAGGUUGAAACUCAAAUGAAUUGGCGGGG